UUUCUUACUGAUAUUUUAUAAUGUGAGGUCCCUGUAAGGGAAACUAUGGACAGGUUGGCAGUUAUUGGAUGUGAAGCCUCUGUGUUAGCCAUUUCACACGGGGGAUAGAAUGCGUCAGCAGUCUAUUUGUAAUGAUGGUUCAGUAAAUAGAGGACGGGGAAGAUGGUGUUGGUUAAAAGGCUUUCUGGACUCACUAAGCUGUAUGAAGAAUUGGUAACGUGAUCGUGACAUCAUCAGUCAUGACACUGCUAAAGUCAUUUCUAGCAAUGCUCUUUGACCUCUUUUCACAAAACACGGGUGGGAGACAAACAUUUCUAAUCCUCUACAAAGAGUAGCCUCAUAUGUCAAGAUGGUUUUAAAGGCUUUUCAUUGACUCAUAUGGUUGAGAAACAUUGAAAUCUCAGCAUUAAGCCAGCACUUUGCAUUGCUUAAAGAUAGCCUAGGUGCUAUUUAAUUCUCAGACUUUUGGGAAUAAAGCAUUUGUAUGGAGACUGAUAAUGGGAUGUUUCUACGCUUCUAUAGAAGUAUAGAGCAACUUGGAUCAAGACUAUGACCUAAUGUUCAAACAUAGAAUGGGUCAAUAUCAGGUAAAUACCAUUGAUACUCUUGGCCACGUCGACCUUACAACUGAAGUUGAGAGAGUUUUGCGUGUUCUUCAUGGUGCAAUCCUUGUUCUCUGUAGUGUUGAUGGUGUGCAAAGUCAGCCAAUUACUAUUGAUAGACAAAUGAAAAGAUUCGAGACAGGUUGCUUUUAUUAACAAAGUUGAUUGAAUGGGGCAGAUCCGUGGCAUGUUCUCUAUCAGGCAGUGAAAAGUUGUGAAGAAAUUCCCGCUGAUGUGCAAGCAAUAGCUGCUGAAAAGCGCCAUGAGUUAAUUGAAAAAGUCUGAUGCUAACGAUGAACUUGCCGAAGCAUUCCCUCAUAACGAAUCUAUAGCUUCUGUUGAUCUCAAGGUAUGUUGAUACCUUUUUCAUUUUGGUUGUUGAGAAAUACCAAAUUUUCUCUUGAAAAGUUUCCUGAAACUUUCUCGAUAGCUGUUU